GAAAUGCGAUAAGUAAUGUGAAUUGCAGAAUUCAGUGAAUCAUCGAAUCUUUGAACGCACAUUUCGCCCGCCAGCACUCUGGCGGGCAUGCCUGUCCGAGCGUCAUUUCAACCAUCAAGCCCCCGGGCUUGUGUUGGGGACCUGCGGCUGCCCGCAGGCCCUGAAAACCAGUGGCGGGCUCGCUGUCACACCGAGCGUAGUAGCAAUCACCUCGCUCAGGGCGUGCUGCGGGUUCCGGCCGUUAAACAGCCUUACAAAACCCAAGGUUGACCUCGGAUCAGGUAGGAAGACCCGCUGAACUUAAGC
rnacentral:misc_RNA from 1 species